rnacentral:rRNA from 1 species
AGAGUUUGAUCCUGGCUCAGAGCGAACGCUGGCGGCAGGCCUAACACAUGCAAGUCGAGCGGCCGUAGCAAUACGGCAGCGGCAGACGGGAGAGUAACACGUGGGAACGCGCCCUUCGGUUCGGGAUAACUCAGGGAAACUUGGGCUAAUACCGGAUACGCCCUUACGGGGAAAGAUUUAUUGCCGAAGGAACGGCCCGCGUCCGAUUAGCUUGUUGGUGAGGUAACGGCUCACCAAGGCGACGAUCGGUAGCUGGUCUGAGAGGAUGACCAGCCUCACUGGGACUGAGACACGGCCCAGACUCCUACGGGAGGCAGCAGUGGGGAAUAUUGGACAAUGGGCGCAAGCCUGAUCCAGCCAUGCCGCGUGGGUGAUGAAGGCCCUAGGGUUGUAAAGCCCUUUCGGCGGGGAAGAUAAUGACGGUACCCGCAGAAGAAGCCCCGGCUAACUUCGUGCCAGCAGCCGCGGUAAUACGAAGGGGGCUAGCGUUGCUCGGAAUUACUGGGCGUAAAGCGCACGUAGGCGGCUUCUUAAGUCGGUGGUGAAAUCCUGGAGCUCAACUCCAGAACUGCCUUCGAUACUGGGAAGCUCGAGUCCGGGAGAGGUGAGUGGAACUGCGAGUGUAGAGGUGAAAUUCGUAGAUAUUCGCAAGAACACCAGUGGCGAAGGCGGCUCACUGGCCCGGUACUGACGCUGAGGUGCGCAAGCGUGGGGAGCAAACAGGAUUAGAUACCCUAGUAGUCC